CACGUAGGCACCAAGCGUUGUCCGGAUUUAUUGGGCGUAAAGAGCGUGUAGGCGGCCAUACAGGUCCGUUGUGAAAACUCGAGGCUUAACCUCGAGACGUCGAUGGAAACCGUAUGGCUAGAGUCCGGAAGAGGAGAGUGGAAUUCCUGGUGUAGCGGUGAAAUGCGCAGAUAUCAGGAAGAACACCCGUGGCGAAGGCGGCUCUCUGGGACGGUACUGACGCUGAGACGCGAAAGCGUGGGGAGCGAACAGG
rnacentral:rRNA from 1 species